CCCUGCCCUUGUCACUCGCAGGACUGGGUAGUCUCCUUCAGUCUCGACUUCGUGUUCUCAGGUCGCCCGCGUGGGAACUCAGAACUCCCGGGUGCCUUUCUUUCCUCCUACCCUUUACCUUCUCUCGAGUGUCUGGGUGGAAUUGGGGUUCGGGGGUUAGAGACGAGAGAUUGGAGAGAUUGAAGUUGAUUUUUUUUAUUAGGAGCUCACAGCUCUGGGCCAACUAGUCAGAGAUAGCCACUGUACCUCUAAGGCAGUGUUUCCUAUAGUAUUGCCACCCUAGAUUAUUUUAAACCAUACGUGAAUGGGUCUUUUAAAAAUAUUGUGCAUUUAUUCUCAUGUGUAAUUUAAAAAUGUGUAUAUGCCUAACAAGCUCUGCAUUUGCGAUUUUCCAUUUAUUGUAAUAAUUAUAUAGCAGUUUCUCUUAAAACAAAUUUAUUUUGAGUAAAAGUAGUGACUUUUUAUAUAUUUUGUAUAAAGAUGAGUGGUAGUACAGGGAAUACAUGGUUAUGGCUAAAUACAUGUAUCUGUGUAUAUAUCUGGAAUGGGACCGAAUGAAAUGUAAGGAACACCAGUGUAAUUGAAAGAGGCUACAAAACUGGGAGGCUGAGGGAUGAAAACAAAAACUCCCCUGCGGGUUUGCCUCCUGUGGCAGAAGGUGGGUGGCAGCAACUGAAAUGUGAUCUGUGCACACCCCUCCCCUCGAAGAGAGAAGAGCUGAGGGGCACUGGGAAGGUGGAAGAGUCCAGCCCUCCGGCUGAGCCUGGCAAGGGGUGGUUUGGGGAACAGGUGUGAAGUAGGAAGUGGAUUGGUUUCCUAGGGCUGCCAUUGUGAAGGACCACAAACUGGAGGGCUUAAAGCAGCAGAAAUUUAUUUCUGCUCUGGAAGCUGAAGAUCCCAGAUCAAGGUGUUAGCAGGGCCGGGACUCUCAAAAGGCUCUAGAGGAGGAUCUUUGCUUCUUCCUUCUUAGGUUUGCUGGUGCUUGGUCAUCCUUUGUCAUCCUUGGCUUGUAGGUACAUCAUUCCAGUCUCUGCCUCCACUGUCAUGUGAUUCUGUCUGUGUGUCUGUCUGUCUUCUCUUCUUUCAAGGAUACGCAGUCAUUGGAGUAGAACCCACCCUAAUCCAAUGUGAUGUCAUCAUAAUUUAAUUAUACCUGAAAAAACUCCAUUUCCAAGUAAGGUCACAUUCUGAAGUUUCAGAGUGACAGAUAUCAGAUUUGGGGGGACACUACUGAGCCCAAGACAGGGAGGAAAAGGUCUUCCUAGUGCGGUACUCGAGUUCCCAUGCAGGUCUCACAGUCAGUGCGUUUGUACCGAGUGUCUGGAGGAGCCCUGCUUAAAUAAAGGGUCUCCGGCUCCUUAGUGUUUGGUCCUCGUUGAGUAGCUGUCUUCCAGUCAGAUUAAUGCUGUUUUCUUUUCUUUCUGCACCUGCUGACCUGUCUCCGUCCUGCAUUGCUCAGCAAGGCCGUAGCUUUUCUCUGUUCCCUUGGUCUUCUUCCCAGAACAGAGUGGCCAAGGUGUAGUACAUUCUAGGCAUCUGGACAAGAGGAAAUCUUGUAGUACAUUCUAGGCCUCUGGACAGGAAGCUUUUCUCUGUUCCCUUGCUCUUCCCAGAACGGAGUGGCCAAGGUGUAGAACAUUCUAGGCAUCUGGACAAGUCUUGUUGGUUCAGUUGAAAUAUAAGGGAAGUGGUAGGGGGAUGUGGACCAGGCAGUAUGGUUCUGGUCCUUUUCUGGAGGUAAUGGCUGAAUGGAGUUAGGACUGCCGUGGGAAUUGGGCUUCCUUGUUAAUCAAUCAUAGGCUCAAAUGUUGUCGUUUCUGCUCAUAGCUUAGGAGGAACGACUUCGACCUGGUUUGCCCCUUUCUAGAAGGAAGGAUUUCUGGGAGCAAUAAAUGCCAUUUGUUUAGUUACCUGAGAAUGCCCAACCUUUAUAUAAGAGAGGUUGUCCUAAGUGUUCCUUCAGCUGCUCAAAGAAGCAGGAAAGGCAGUUCUCCAUUAACUGCUUUAGCUAUGUCAUAGUGUCAUAUGAGUUUACUAUUGGGCUGCCCACCUGGAAGACAAGAUGGGUUUGUCCCAGAAAUAGAAAGCUCACCCAAGGACUGAUGUCCAAGGUCAAACUUGACUUAAAGCUGGCCAUAUUAGGGCAAAUCCUAAGUUUCUUUGGUUAUAAUGCCCCAUCUCCUCAAAAUACUGCUAAUUGCUCUUCUUUAUUUCCUCUCCCUCUUCAAAGAAGAAAAUGCUUCUGGCCGGGUGCGGUGGCUCAAGCCUGUAAUCCCAGCACUUUGGGAGGCCGAGGCGGGUGGAUCACGAGGUCAAGAGAUCAAGACCAUCCUGAUCAACAUGGUGAAACCCCAUCUCUACUAAAAUUACAAAAAAUUAGCUGGUCAUGGUGGUGCGCACCUGUAAUCCCAGCUACUCAGGAGGCUGAGGCAGGAGAAUUGCCUGAACCCAGGAGGCGGAGGUUGCGGUGAGCCGAGAUCGCGCCAUUGCACUCCAGCCUGGGUAACGAGCGAAACUCCGUCUCAAAAAAAAAAAAGAAAA